rnacentral:tRNA from 1 species
UCCCGUGUGGCUCAGUUGGUAGAGCAUGGUGUUUGCAACGCCAGGGUUGUGUGUUAGAUUCCCACGGGGG